ensembl:lncRNA LINC01727 long intergenic non-protein coding RNA 1727
AUCUGGGCCAAGUUCAGGGCUGGUGCUCUCGUUCAGAUAGAUUUAGCUGGUGGUGCAGAGAUCCGUGAGCUUGCUUUUACAGGACUUUAAUGAUAUAUAAAAGCAGCACGAGGUGCUCCUGACUGUGGAUUAAUUUGGAGAUGACUUUCUCUGUUGAAGAGUAGCAAGACUCUCGCGAGUUCUUAAAAAUGCACUUGUUUGGUAUGAGAAUGAAAAGCAGUGGCUGAAGAACCAAUCUUCAAUGGGCAAGCCUUCUCUGUGUCUGUUCUAACACGUGCCAUUUGGGAUCCCUUGGAAUCUUCAUGUACAGAACUGGUUGCUGCCUCGUUGAGUCGGUGGGGACAGAAUAGCUCCUGGUUGACAGCAUGGGUUGUGCAGAAGGACGGAUCCUGCAGACAUCAAUAUCUGGCUUUGAGUGGCACAAAGAAAUAAAGGAAUGUGGAUUCAGACCUCACUGGGAUGCUUGGCAAUUCUAAUUCUACCCCAGACUGCAAAUGGACACACAACUGUUGUGACUUUUGUUGAAGAGGAGAAGGAUGGUGAAGGUCUCUUUAGUCAAUAAUCUCUUUGCUGAAAUUGCUUCGGGCAGCACAGAAGCUGGAUUCAGAAGCACACAGGUCUGGGGAUGCAGGCUUCGGCCAGCCUGAUGCAAGGAAAGACUGCCAUCUCGUGGUCAGCUCAAUCCUGGCACCUUGGUGAGGGACCAGGCUGCAGAAAACCAGGCUUGGGGAGGAAACGGUGCUGCAAACUGGAUUUCUGCCGGACAGUGUGGAUGCCCUUAGAAAACACCCAGAAAAGAGCUGAGUGCCCCCCAAGACUUGCCCUGAAUUCUUUCAUGUGCAAUAUCCGAAAACCCUCUCUUGGGGCCUGGAUCAGGACCCCUUUCCUAUAACAUCUUUCUGGCGACAACAAAGGGACAAUGGUGUGGAAUCCCCCUUCCCAAAUGCUACUUUUAGAUAUCACCUUUUGUCGGAACUUGGAGUUGGUAAUGACCUUCACCAUACCACCACUCUGGGACUGAGCUUCUCUCUACCCUGAUGCAAGAGACCCUAAUAGGCAGGAAUAUGACCACCCCUAUUCAGCCUGAAGAAGUUACAGAAGUUCUGAAACCCUUAGAAAUGAGGGUCUUCUUGUAAAGGGAGUGGGGAGAUAUAUCAGAGGCAUUUGAACCAGAGCAACUCCAUCUUGAGUGAGGGCUAGGAAAAUGAGGCUAGGACUUGCUGGGCUGCAUUCUCAGAAAGUCAGUCAUUCCUAGCCUCUAGAUGUUUACGGUUAAGGGAACAAAUUUAUAACAUUUACUAAACACACCCAGACUUGGGAGUGUCCAGAUAUCCCAAUAUCUGGAGAACAAAGGCAUUCCUAAUUUUGCUUUAAAGACAAUAAUAUUGAUUCUUGCAAAAUAUAGUAAUUAAGAAAAUUAAUCCUUUAUCACAAACCCUUGUAGUAAAACACAUCUCCCCAUAUAUACAAGCAUUGUACCUAAGGUGGAUGCGUUCCAUCUCUUACUUUCAGGAAUGUCCUACACUAUCUAAGGAGUAGCUGUACUUUCACCACUUUACUUUCUUAAUAAACUUGUUUUUACUUUGCACCAA